rnacentral:siRNA from 1 species
CAUGCCUUAAAUGACCAAGUC